UACGUAGGGCGCAAGCGUUGUCCGGAAUUAUUGGGCGUAAAGAGCUCGUAGGCGGUUCGUCGCGUCGGCUGUGAAAACCCGCGGCUCAACUGCGGGCCUGCAGUCGAUACGGGCAGGCUAGAGUUCGGUAGGGGAGACUGGAAUUCCUGGUGUAGCGGUGAAAUGCGCAGAUAUCGGGAAGAACACCCGUGGCGAAGGCGGCUCUCUGGAACGGUACUGACGCUGAGACGCGAAAGCGUGGGGAGCAAACAGG
rnacentral:rRNA from 1 species